GACGAACGCUGGCGGCGUGCUUAACACAUGCAAGUCGAACGGAAAGGCCCUGCUUUUGUGGUGUGCUCGAGUUACGCAAGUGUGAAAAACACGAGAGUAACCUGCCCUUGACUUUGGGAUAACGUCUGUAAACUUGGGCUAAUACCGGUUAUGAGCUCCUGCUCCGUGGUGUGGGUUGGAAGGUUUCGGCGGUUGGGGAUGGACUCGGGGCUUAUCAGCGUGCUGGUGGGGUAGUGGCUGACGAAGGCUUUGCCGGGUAGGCGGCCUGAGAGGGUGACCGGCCACAUUGCGAAUGCGAUACCGCGCAGAAGCCUACGGGAGGCAGCAGUGGGGAAUAUAGCACAAUGGGCGGAAGCCUGAGGCAGCAACGCCGCGUGCGGGAUGACGGCCUUCUUGUGGUAACCCGCUUUCGCCUGUGAUGAAGCGUGAGUGACGGUAAUGGGUAAAGAAGCACCGGCUAACUACGUG
rnacentral:rRNA from 1 species